AUACGUAGGUGACAAGCGUUAUCCGGAUUUACUGGGCGUAAAGGGCGUGUAGGCGGUCUUGCAAGUCAGAAGUGAAAUUCCUGAGCUCAACUCGGGCGCUGCUUCUGAAACUGCAGGACUUGAGUGCUGGAGGGGAUAGCGGAAUUCCUAGUGGAGCGGUAAAAUGCGCAGAUAUUAGGAAGAACACCGGUGGCGAAGGCGGCUAGCUGGACAGUAACUGACGCUGAGGCGCGAAAGCGUGGGGAGCAAACAGGAUUAGAUACCCUGGUACUCCACGCCGUAAACGAUGAAUACUAGGUGUAGGGGGUAUCGACUCCCUCUGUGCCGCAGUUAACACAAUAAGUAUUCCGCCUGGGGAGUACGGCCGCAAGGUUGAAACUCAAAUGAAUUGGCGGGG
rnacentral:rRNA from 1 species